UCUUCCAGGUUUCCAAGAUGCCUUUCCAGACUAGAACCCAGACGUGUGAACCGCUGGCCAGACACAACACUCUUCAAGUUAUGCAGGAGGCAGAGAGGAUUCAUCAGACUAAUUCUCCUGCUGCGACUGACAGAUCGGCCUGAGCUACAAUAGGGAGAAGAAUUAAAUGUAAAAACUCAAUAUUGUGGACCAGAGAUGGUGGUGAAUGCCUGCAAUCCUAGCACCUAGGAGACAGCCUUGCCUAGGGCCAUAGAUGCUAUUAGACGAGUGAAUCAGUCAAAGGUCAAAGUGUAAAAUGUUAUACUGUCUGCUUGAUGAGAGCCCAAGCUGGAAGCAUGUAUUAAAUCACACCCUGGACAAGGAUUCCGGAGGGAGUUGAAAGGGCAGAAGUUCCACUUAUCUCCAAGACCAUGACUGCCUCUGUUUUACAGAGUUCAGCAGCUUCUAUGACUGCAACCAGGGGAGCAGAAUUUUAUCAGUAAACUCUCUGGAAUGGAUAAAGGAGAUCUUCUGAGCAACCGUGGAAAUCCGACUGCUUUUAUGAUCUGUUGUUGAGUUGCUGUCAAUAAACUCAUAAAGGGCUUCUCCUAUGUGAUUAUAUCAAGAGCUAUAAAGGAGACAGUCAAUGUUAACACUGGAGUGAGGUAAAAAAUAUCUUCUAAAUUCAAUAUAAAGCUUCAAAGAGUCAGAUAUUUUGGAAAGUCUCAGAGUUUUAGUCUACGUAGCACCAUCUAGAGAAUUAAGUAGAACAUCUAGAGAACAAGAUCAGGAUCAGGUACGGAGACAGCUUUCUCUUGCUUAUGGAUUUGAGAGAUUUUAUGCAUCAUAGUAGAUGUGUGUUUGUGAAUGAAAAAUUGACUUGCUGAAUAAAUGAAGACAUUUAACCUCAGUACAAAAAUCCUCUCUGUAAUUUUAAUAAAGUCAAUGGCUAUAAGGUAGAGCGAACUCAUAUACUUAUUUUAAAGAUUAAUCACAGUUCAAAAUUGUUGCCCUCUGAAUUCAUUAGAAGUUCUUUCAUACAUUUGUGGUGGCUACAGAUUUUAAAGAAAAAAAUACAGUGUCAUCAUUUACUAUUUAGACUUGUAGAUUAAUAAUUUUAAAAUGUUAUUAUAUAUCAAUUUGAAAAUUUAAGUUUAUUAAUGUAUCUUCAAUAAUUUCUAAAUUAUUAUUAUAUACCAGUAUUUGUAGAAUUAAAUCUUUCAGGUACCCUCAGCAUAUAAAUUGUGUAUGGUGCUUGUUUGUAUCAUUAAACUUAAGUAAAUGUAAAUAUUAUAAGAGAAAACAUAAAUGAAAUAUCCAAUAUUGCAUGUCUUUGGAAUGAUUAUAGCUUUACACAGCUUUGAUCUGACAG
rnacentral:lncRNA from 1 species